UCUACAUAGCUGACACUUCCCCAUGUGACCC
rnacentral:piRNA from 1 species